rnacentral:rRNA from 1 species
UCAUCUAAAGCUAAAUAUUGGCCAGAGACCGAUAGCGCACAAGUAGAGUGAUCGAAAGAUGAAAAGCACUUUGGAAAGAGAGUUAAACAGCACGUGAAAUUGUUGAAAGGGAAGCGCUUGCAAUCAGACUUGCGCGUAGGUAAUCAAGGGCGGUUCGCUGCCCUGCACUUGCCUGCGCUCAGGCCAGCAUCAGUUCUGGGGGUGGGAGAAAGGCCGAUGGAAUGUGGCUCUUCGGAGUGUUAUAGCCAUCGGUGCCAUGCUGCCUCCCGGGACUGAGGACCGCGCUUCGGCUAGGAUGCUGGCGUAAUGAUUGUAAGCGACCCGUCUUGAAACACGGACCAAGGAGUCUAACAUCUAUGCGAGUGUUUGGGUGUCAAACCCACACGCGGAAUGAAAGUGAACGGAGGUGAGAGCCCUUGAGGGUGCAUCAUCGACCGAUCCUGAUGUCUUCGGAUGGAUUUGAGUAUGAGCAUAGCUGUUGGGACCCGAAAGAUGGUGAACUAUGCCUGAAUAGGGUGAAGCCAGAGGAAACUCUGGUGGAGGCUCGCAGCGGUUCUGACGUGCAAAUCGAUCGUCAAAUUUGGGCAUAGGGGCGAAAGACUAAUCGA